CAGACUGCUGUAAGAAUGACAGCUUUGGCUCGCCACUGGGAGCAGGAUAACAUGAGAGGGAACUUGCUGAACUUGAAGACACUGACAGCCCUUCCUCUACUGGCCCAGCUUACUCUUAGUUAUGGAGACCCCAGCAAAAAUCACAAGGGCUUCAGUCACUUCACCCCUGCCUCCCACCAUCUGCCCACCAGAAGCCACCUCCAGCACAGCAGAACCACAUCAUGUGUAGCCUCGUGGAUUUAGCAUUUGUUUCUCCAUUCAGAUCUCCUGAUUACUGAACCAUAUCUAUACUUACCAUGUCCUUGGGAAACUGGGUCUUGGG
rnacentral:lncRNA from 1 species